GGGCAUGUAGUGUAGGGGUUAUCGCGCCUCAUUCGCAAGAUCCGGAGUUGAACGUGAUCACGUGACUUGAGGAGGUCCCCGGUUCAAUUCCGGGCUUGUCCA
rnacentral:tRNA from 1 species